rfam:Triticum aestivum genome assembly, contig: Triticum_aestivum_CS42_TGACv1_scaffold_570040_7AS
CAUAUACUCCGUCCAUUCCAAAAUUCUUGUCUUACAUUUGUCUAGAUACGAAUGUAUCUCAUGCUAAAACAUAACUAGAUACAUUCGUAUUUCGAUAGAUCUAAGACAAGAAUUUUAGAAUGGAGGGAGUAUAUA